UACGUAGGGGGCAAGCGUUGUCCGGAAUCAUUGGGCGUAAAGAGCGUGUAGGCGGCCAGAUAAGUCCGCUGUGAAAACUCGAGGCUCAACUUCGAGCUGUCGGUGGAAACUAUUUGGCUAGAGUCCGGAAGAGGAGAGUGGAAUUCCUGGUGUAGCGGUGAAAUGCGCAGAUAUCAGGAGGAACACCAGCGCGAAGGCGACUUACUGGACGAUUGUUGACGCUGAGGUGCGAAAGCGUGGGGAGCAAACAGG
rnacentral:rRNA from 1 species